UACAGAGGGGGCAAGCGUUGUUCGGAAUUACUGGGCGUAAAGGGCGCGUAGGCGGCCUGCUAAGUCGAACGUGAAAUCCCUGGGCUCAACCCAGGAACUGCGUCCGAUACUGGUUGGCUUGAAUCCGGGAGAGGGAUGUGGAAUUCCAGGUGUAGCGGUGGAAUGCGUAGAUAUCUGGAGGAACACCGGUGGCGAAGGCGACAUCCUGGACCGGCAUUGACGCUGAGGCGCGAAAGCCAGGGGAGCAAACGGG
rnacentral:rRNA from 1 species